AAGUAGGGGAUCGUAAGACCUUGCGCUUUUGGAGCGGCCGAUGCCUGAUUAGCUAGUUGGUGGGGUAAGGGCCUACCAAGGCGACGAUCAGUAGUUGGUCUGAGAGGACGACCAGCCACACUGGGACUGAGACACGGCCCAGACUCCUACGGGAGGCAGCAGUGGGGAAUUUUGGACAAUGGGCGAAAGCCUGAUCCAGCAAUGCCGCGUGAGUGAAGAAGGCCUUCGGGUUGUAAAGCUCUUUCAGUCGAGAAGAAAAGGUUGCGACUAAUAAUCGCAACUUAUGACGGUAUCGACAGAAGAAGCACCGGCUAACUACGUGCCAGCAGCCGCGGUAAUACGUAGGGUGCGAGCGUUAAUCGGAAUUACUGGGCGUAAAGGGUGCGCAGGCGGCUCUGUAAGUCAGAUGUGAAAUCCCCGGGCUUAACCUGGGAAUUGCGUUUGAAACUACAAAGCUAGAGU
rnacentral:rRNA from 1 species